GAAGAGAAAGAGAAAGAGAAACAGAAAGAAAGAGAAAGAGAAAGAAUCCAGGCUCAGGCAAAAGGAUAGUGGGUGUGGCGCAGUAGACAGCAGACAGAAGGGGCUACUCACAAGCUGUGUGACCUUGGGCAAGUUCCUAAUUUCUUCUGGCCUCUGUGCGCUCGUCUGUAAAAUGGGGCCCAGUGUCCCUACCUGGAAGGAUUGUGUGAGAUCAAAGAUGUGCAUAGAGAGAAGAGGUGUUUCAGUGAGGCUCUUCGACAUUAGAACACUAUUUAAAGAGUAUACAUCUCCCAGUGAAGCAAAUGAUAAACUUUCCCACCUACAAAGUGUGAGAUAUUGGCAAUGUAAAGAUGUGAAGAGAGAUAAGAUACUAUGGAGGGAGAGAAAGCACUGUAUAUGAGGGCCUACCAAGUGCCAGGCAGCAUUCCAAGCCCUGGAAUCCAGUGAUGAACACGACAGACAAGAUUCCUGCCCCCAAGGAGCUGCACCUUAUGAAGGCCGGCGAUGAAGGAGACAGAAAAUAAACAGAGGAAAACAUACAACAUGCCAGCUGGUGAGAAGUGCUAACAAAAAAAGACACAACUACGUCCGCAGAGUCUGAGAUGUAUAUAGGCCCUUAGAUAAUGACUCAAAUGAAUGGACUCCUGAACUCUGGAGUGGAGGCUAGACCACAAAGAUAGAACUCGCAAAGGAAGUGGCUGAAGACUGCUUUUGUGACUUUUGUCUGCUCAUCCACCGCAGGACAGACACAAAGGACAGGCUCAGGGAUUGGAGGAUUCCUAAGUGAAGUGGUCUGUAUGCUGAACCGUGAGUGGCCCCUCCCAGCUCCACCUCCCCACCUCCAACCCCACCUCCAAUCAGGGAUGCAUGGGUACUGCUUUUCUCUCAUCCAAGCUGGUUAGGGGGCUUUGAGGAGGCCUCAGAGAGUGUGAUACCUGUUUUCUCCAGCUUCAGAGACACUGGGCUGUGGUUUAACUCACCCUUGAAAAAUCCCAAGGCCUUUACGAGGCUGCAUGAAGUGGCUUUGGCAACAGAGCAGGGCAGCACAGCUGUGCUCCUGUUGACAAGGGGCAGAUGAUGCUGACAAGGGGCAGAUGAGUUCUCAGGAGCCAAGAUGCUGUCUGGCCCUUAGGUCCCUACGUCAAGCCCUGUCUAAGGGAGUGAAGAAGCUUUAAUUCUGAAUGAAGUUAGGAGUGUUGGCCGCUACCUCAAAUGAAUGUAAUAUUUGCUAAAAUGUGAUCAGGAGACCACUGUGACCAUGGUAUUAUAAUUAGUAAUAGCAGUAUCUAAGAGUGAGCAUGGAAAUUCCCCAAGAUUUCUUCAAGGAGUAGGAAACAGUCCCCAAGAGCAGGUUGGAGCAAGCACUAGGGUGGAAGGAGAAUGGGGGUGUUAAGGUAGGGGAGAAUGUUCAGUGCCUGUACCUUAUGAGUUCUCCUCAUUUGAUGCAACAGUUACAGGCCUUCCAGCAAUGCUAAAAGGUUGAUCCUACUACUAUUCCUAUUAUAUAGAUAAGCAAACUGAGGCACACAGGUAUUGAGAGGUCUUAUGGUAGCUCCAGAAUUUCAAUAUAGGCCAGGAUGAUGGCUCUCCCUUCACGUGGAGAAGGAGAUACGAGAUUUGUGUUGAAGCCGUUCCCAUAACAAGCCAGCUAUUUUCCUCCUGGACUGAAGUCUACGGGGAAUGGCUUGGGAGGAAGGAGGCUGGCAGAGAUAGAGGUGAAGUUAGUUAAGGCACCCUCCCAGGCUGGUUUUGGGGCUCCCGAUGGGUGAGACCCAAGGCAGAGAGACCUCUUUAGAGGCAACUGCAACAGUCCUGGGGGGAGUCUGGGUACUUGGACCCUACCCUUGGGAUGGAGAUGCCAGGAGGAAUUCGGGAGAAGUGAAAGGUCAGAAGUUUCCCCUGGAGUAGGAUUCAGGAAAAAAGAGAUUGCAGGAAGACACUCACAUUUCUGCUUCCAAAAAGAAGCAACUUGCAUGCAGAAGGGGAGAAAAAGCCAAACAAUCAUGCAUCAGGCAGCCUCAGAGAAACAAAUGGAGGGGGCAUGAGGCAUCUAGAAACAUGAGCCCUGGAAAAUGAGGACUGGGCACCUUUGACGUUGGCACAGCCCAGAGAAGCAGAGUCCCUGAGGAGGGUGGAGGCAGGGGCUAGGGAAGACAGCACAAGAGUGGGAAAACCUUGGCCACGAACAGCUCCUCAGCACCCCUCACUGGCCGUGCGUGGGAGACGGGUCAUCAUUGAACAAGUUGCCUUUCAGCUCCAUCUUUGUCUAUCUGUGUCACCCACGCCAGGAAACACCAAUCUAGCCUUUGGACAUCCCUUCAGAUGCUGACACAGAUUUGGAGAGGAAACCAAAGGCCCAUCCCUAAAAACUCACCGUCUUCCAAAGGGUGCUUUGGGCUUCUUUCCAACAGAAGUUGCACCCGGCCCCCCACACCUGCUUGGUCUUGACUCCAGGAAAUGACCUGUAGAAUCUAGGAGAUAGCUCCUAUUUGUGUAACAUUUUACUGGCCUCACCUGGCUCCAAAGAUAUUUAAUAUAAGGCAAUAUAAGUCCAUAAAAGGCAAAAAGCCCCAGCCAAGCCUUCAGCAUCCCCAACAAAUGUACUUCAUGCACCCGAAGUGAAUAUCUCUCUUGCCUCACUCUAGACCUGGCCCAGGGUAAAACAAGCAAAAUACUCGCCUUGGGUGCAAAUUCCCUCCAACUGGAGGGAAAUAAGUGAAUUCUGCACAGCCCGAUGGAGUCAAGGACAAAGAUUUGGGCAGUAUUUGAGUCUCGGCUGUGCCGAUUACCAUGGACCCUGGGACAAGUCUCUGCUUCCUUUUGAUGGACAGUUUCUGUAAAAUGGGCACGUGAUUCUUACUUUGAGGUCUCAGAAGAUGACUGCGCCAAGCUCUGAUGAGAUGCAGGAUGGGGCUUUACAAGUCAUGAAAUGCAUAUACAGAUAAAGACACAGAUAUUAUUCCAAACCUACAAACAACUCCCUCUCCUCAAUAUUUUACGGUGCUGCUUGGUGGAUGUGAAUGGACUCUGCACUGUGUGUGGGUGUGGACUCUGAGCAGGAGCAGGGGGGCGUUCUCGGGACCCUCGUGGCUGGCCAGCUGUCCUGUCAAAGCAGCUCCUUGUUCCCCAGGGGCCAGGUAAGAGAAGGUGGCUGAAUCUGUAAGCCACACUAAGGACACAUCUGAUGGAUGGUGUCAUGGAGCACUUAUCUUUAUUUAAAAUUUUGAGGGCUGGGCAUGGUGGCUCAUGCCGGUAAUCUCAAGACUUG